CCUCGAGUUAUCUAAUCUAGUUAACUCGGAAUUAACUAGUUUAUCAUGAUGUGUAAAUGUUUUUUUUUACGUUAAACAACUUUAAUGACCAGCGGUGAAGCUGGACACCAAUCUAGUUAAUACUACAAGUUUAUAUACCAGUCCCAAUAAUUCAUAGCAAAACACACCACUAAACCUUUUUUUUUUUUUUUAAUUAUAAAUACCGAGGAUUAUACUCUAAAAGUUACAAAAUCUUGUGUAGCCACAAUAUAGAUCUGGCUAAUUCUCAUUUUGGUUGAGAGCCUUUCGACAAGUUCUUGGUUGCAAAUCGGUACUAAAUUUUUUGUUACAUUUUAUUUUUUUGAUGAAAUGGUUUAGUUGAAUUCAUCUCAUGCUGGAAGUUGCUAUCAUGGCUGGACUUAGGUUUUCAAUGCUAAGAAAGUCUUUCUGUAAUUCCAUCAACCCCACUUCACAACGUCAAUCACUUCGAUUUUAUAAUGUUAAUGGAAGUAGUCUAAGAUCAGCAUCCGCUAUCAUAAAUCGAGAUUAUUACAAAGAUGAAUCAAAAUUGGCUGGAAAUCUGUCAAAUAUUAUAGCUAUGAGAUCUGAUGCUGGUGUCAAUAACCAAUGUUAUAAGAAUAAACCCAUGAGAGGAUUUAUGUCAACUUCAUCAAAUGUGUUGCUUCGAAGUGCUGUUCCUUUCAUUUCAAUGAGCCCCGGGAUGAGCUGUAGAUCAUUCUCUUGGUCUUCUGGUGGCAAAGUUGAUAAAUCUGGGGCUAGUGAAUUUUCAGCUUCUUCCAGUGGAAGUGAUGUGGACGUUAGUAACAGUGGUGGUAUUGGAAGUGACUGGAUUGAUAAGGUUAAAGAAGCUUGGCAAAGUGCAGUGCAUGCAGUAACUUAUUCUGAGCAAAAGGCUAAAGAGAUCUCCGCUGAACUGACCCCUUAUGUUCAGCAGUUGCUUGAUUCGCAUCCAUAUCUUAAAAAUGUGGUUGUUCCAGUUGGUUGGACUUUGACUGGUACUGUUGUGGCUUGGGUGGUGAUGCCUAGACUUUUGAGGCGAUUUCACAAGUAUUCAUUGCAAACUCCUGUUGCUUUGCUAUCUGGAGGCACAUCUGGUGAACAAAUUUCAUAUGAGAAGAGCAUUUGGGGUGCUUUGGAAGAUCCUUUAAGAUAUGUAAUCACCUUUAUGGCAUUUUCACAAAUUGCUGUGAUGGUGGCACCUACUACAAUUGCUUCUCAGUAUAUAGCACAAGCAUGGAGGGGUGCUGUUAUUCUUUCUUUUGUAUGGUUUCUGCACCGGUGGAAGACAAAUGUGUUUAAUCGUGUGAUAACAUCGGCAACAGUUGAUCGGGAAAAGCUGUUAACUCUUGAUAGAUUUUCUUCUGUUGGUCUUUUUGUUAUUGGGCUGAUGGCUUUAGCUGAGGCUUGUGGGGUUGCAGUGCAGUCUAUACUGACUGUGGGUGGCAUUGGAGGAGUUGCUACUGCUUUUGCUGCCAAAGACAUCCUUGGGAAUGUGCUCAGUGGGUUGUCUAUGCAAUUUUCAAAGCCCUUUUCACUUGGAGAUACAAUAAAGGCUGGAGCUGUAGAAGGUCAAGUGGUCGAAAUGGAACUUACCACCACUUCAUUAUUGAAUGCUGAGAAAUUCCCUGUCUUAGUUCCAAAUUCAUUGUUUUCUAGUCAGGUAAUUGUGAACAAGUCUCGUGCCCAAUGGCGUGCAAUGGUCUCCAAAAUUCCUGUGACAGUUGAUGAUGUGGAGAAGAUACCCCAGAUAUCAAAUGACAUCAAGAACAUGCUAAAAUCUAACGCAAACAUUUUCUUGGGAAAGGAGGCUCCUUACUGUUACUUGUCUAGAAUAGAAAGUUCAUUUGCAGAAUUGACUCUUGGGUGCAAUCUCAAACAAAUGAGCAAAAAUGAAUUAUACUGCACGGAGCAAGACAUUCUUCUGCAGUCAGUCAGGAUAAUAAAGGAGCAUGGUGCUAGAUUAGGCAUCACUACCAGUCAGUCAUACAGUGACAAUGCUGGUAAACAAGAUUCCGCAUGGUGAAGCUUGGACCCUUCUCUACAUGCACUCAACUUGAACAUCACACUAUGCAGAAACCUGUAUCAUGAUGUUGUGUUCGAGUUGUUUUGGUGCAUCUGAAAAGAAAAAAAAAAAAAAAACUGUUGUGGUGCAACGGCUGACAAGAUACAAACUCUAGUCGACUGAAGAACAGGUUUUCAACUUUCUUGACCAACAGUUGUUGAAAGUUUUGAAUCCAUUUGUUCAGUUGAAAAGCGAUAGACUAUCACAGCAGUCUUAAAGAGCGUCGACUUCAAAUACAGCCUUCUUGAACCGAAAUAACGCAUGCAGAUGGUGUAGCAUGCUUACUGAAUACAGCAUAGUGCUUAACAAAGACAUUGAUUGUGCAUUUCUAU